rnacentral:rRNA from 1 species
GACGUAGGGCGCAAGCGUUGUCCGGAUUUAUUGGGCGUAAAGAGCUCGUAGGCGGCUUGUCGCGUCGACUGUGAAAACCCGUGGCUCAACCAUGUGGUCUGCAGUCGAUACGGGCAGGCUAGAAUUCGGUAGGGGAGACUGGAAUUCCUGGUGUAGCGGUGAAAUGCGCAGAUAUCAGGAGGAACACCGGUGGCGAAGGCGGGGUCUCUGGGCCGAUAUUGACGCUGAGGAGCGAAAGCGUGGGGAGCGAACAGG